CCUACGGGUGGCAGCAGUAGGGAAUAUUGCUCAAUGGGGGAAACCCUGACGCAGCAACGCCGCGUGGGGGAUGAAGGUUUUCGGAUUGUAAACUCCUUUUGUUAGAGAAGAUAAUGACGUUAUCUAACGAAUAAUCACCUGCUAACUCCUGCCCAGCAGCCGCGGUAAUACGGAGGGUGCAAGCGUUCGUCGGAAUCACUGGGCGUAAAGAGCACGUAGGCGGGAUAGCAAGUCAGAUGUGAAAUCCUAGGGCUUAACCAUAGAACUGCAUUUGAAACUGGUAUUCUAGAGUAUGGGAGAGGUAGGUGGAAUUCUAGGUGUAGGGGUAAAAUCCGUAGAGAUCAAGAGGAAUACU
rnacentral:rRNA from 1 species